GAAGUCCCCGCCUAUCAGCUGUUUCCCCUGUGGCUGCUGAAGCUCCCAGGGGGCUCCCACCUCCCACUGCAGACAGUUUUAUACUGCCACCCAUCGACACAGUAUCUGAAUGCCUUCCACAUAAAACAAUAGCAAAAGCAAGAUCCCUAGUGGACUUCAUGGACUCUCUGGCACUUCUCCUUUUACAGGAUCAGAACUCUGCAUGGGAGCCUCCUUGUGCCUUCCUAGGUGAGCUAAACACCGAGCCUGGCCCUCUUGGACAUCUCUUCUCAUUGCAACGUUACUGGAAGGUAACAGCAGCAAGCAGCUCGAGUACUCAUACAGGGCUUUCUAGUAGGAUGUUUGCAAAAAUAAAAGUUAAAAUGAAAAGCAACAGGAUAUAGGACUAAGCAGAACUAAACGAAAAAGAUCAAAAGCUAUAACUUGAAUAUGCACCAAAAUUACAGCUAUAAUCUGAGUGGAUAGGAAUUUGAAGAUCAAAUUAACAACUUAUUUUGUUUAAGGUGACCUGCCAAGUACUUUGAAAAAAAUGGGCAUGAGCUGUUUUUUUGGAGGGGGUGUGGAGGGAAACGGUGAACAUCUUUAUUAUGUAUAAAUAUUAAUAAGGAUGAUGAAUAUAAAAAGUGUUAAACCCAAGCCUUCAGACUGAUGAACAAUCUCAACUAUCACUGACGUAAAUGAGGUAUCAGAAAACAUCUGGAAAAAUCUGUUCUAUAACUCAGCUGAUAAGUCAAUCCUUACAAAAUAUAUUUGAUUCCAGAAACCAUUUUUCAUUUGGAUCCAGUCUGUUUUAAGUGGAACCUGCUAUAUUUCAAGUUUUGAGCCUUAUCUGCUUGAGGUUCCCCUUAAGAACUACAGGACAUAAACAUUCAAGCUGUCGAUGCAGAAAGCUUCAAUUAUCCAAGACCUCAAUCUGACUUAUAUCCCCGUUUCGCAGAAAGUACUGGAACCAUGAAAAUACCUGAAACUCUUGUUGUCUGUAUGCCAAAUCACCUCUGAAUUUUUUGGCAGUUAGAAUUUCAACAUCGUCCUCACUGUUUGCAUCCUCACAAAACCACUGUAAACACAAAGGAAAAUAUUCAAGUGUAUUGUGGAAAUUGAAGUUAUGAUUUUCAA